UACGUAGGGGGCAAGCGUUGUCCGGAUUUACUGGGCGUAAAGAGCGUGUAGGCGGCCAAGCAGGUCCGUUGUGAAAACUGGAGGCUUAACCUCCAGACGUCGACGGAAACCGCGUGGCUAGAGUCCGGAAGAGGAGAGUGGAAUUCCUGGUGUAGCGGUGAAAUGCGCAGAUAUCAGGAAGAACACCAAUGGCGAAGGCGGGUUGCUGGGCCGACACUGACGCUGAGGCGCGAAAGCCAGGGGAGCAAACGGG
rnacentral:rRNA from 1 species